AUCUAGAUUGCCUAUAUGGUCCA
rnacentral:siRNA from 1 species